rnacentral:rRNA from 1 species
CAUGGUCUAGCCAGUUCUACUCAAGCAAAAAGCUAUUUAAGUUUGACUACCCGAAACUAAGCGAGCUACUCCGGGGCAGCUUAUAGAGCAAAUCCGUCUCUGUGGCAAAAGAGUGGAGAGACCCCUAAGUAGAGGUGAUAGACCUAACGAGCUUAGUGAUAGCUGGUUGCUCGAGAAAAGAGUAUAAGCUCUAUCUUAAAAAAUGUUUAUAACAGCCUAAGUGUAAAACACCUAUUAAGACCUAUUCAAUCUGGGUACAGCCAAAUUGAAAAAGGGUACAACCUAAAAUAAUGGGUUAAGACUAUAUUCUCUAAGGAAAAUAAUCUCAGUGGGCCUAAAAGCAGCCACCUGUGAAGAAAGCGUCAAAGCUCAUCACAAAUCAUUCCAAUAAUUACAGCAUUUUAAUCUAAACCCAACAACAAUAUCGAGCUACUCCAUGACUUCAUGGAAGAACUUAUGCUAGAACUAGUAACCAGGAUAAAACAUCCUCCUAAUGUAAGUGUAAAACAGAACGAAUUUAUCACCGUUAAUCAACGCCCUUAAUGAAAAAACUGCAACAACAAAACAAGAAAAACCUGCUCAUACCAAGCGUUAACCUAACACAAGAACAUCAAAGGAAAGACAAAAAAAUAAGAAAGGAACUCGGCAAACAUUGAUCUCGCCUGUUUAC